rnacentral:rRNA from 1 species
CGCGUAGGAACUACCCAGUAGUGGGGACGAACAGUUGGAAACGACUGCUAAUACCGCAUACGCUCUACGGAGGAAAGGGGGCGUUCGGCUCUCGCUAUUGGAUGUGCCUGCGUGAGAUUUAGCUAGUUGGUGGGGUAAAAGCCUACCAAGGCAACGAUCUCUAGCUGGUCUGAGAGGGACUGAUCAGCCACAUUGGGGACUGAGACACGGGCCCCAGACUCCUACGGGGAGGCAGCAGUGGGGAAUAUUGGACAAUGGGCGCAAGCCUGAUCCAGCCAUGCCGCGUGUGUGAAGAAGGCU